CUUUAAACUGUCAUAGUGGUUCUCAACUGGGAAUUGUAUCCCACCAAGAACAUCUGACAAGGUCUGAAGAAAUUUUUGGCUGUCACAUUUCUGAGGAGAUACAGUUAUGUGAUGAACAGAAGCCAGGGAUGCUGCUGAGUACCCUACCAUAAAUGCAACAGCCACACACAACAGCAGCACUAAUAUGGCUAUGAUUGAGAACUUCUGAUCUAAAAAGAACAAGAAUCUUCUGAAUCCUGAACUAUUUGCAAUAACGGUGUUAAGCAGAAGAAAAGGAGACAUUGCAGUAUUUUCACCAGAUAUUUUAGCACCUUGCACCUUUAUUCUCAGUCCUGCUGAGCAGUGACUAAGCCUCAGAGGGAGUACAGCUUGCUAGGUAAACCACGAAACUGCAUGCUGGGUUGUGUCCCUACAGAUUAGGAAAAAACUCUGUAAAUAUCAGCUCCUUAAAUCUUCUUGCAACUGAACUUGAAAACUUGUGCUUGAAAACAUGUAGUGAGGAGCAACUGGUUGGAAGUCACCUUUCAUUGUGCUCAAGGAAGACUGUAUCUCAGCAGGCAGCACGGCAAUCAGACCUGCUAAGAGGAGACCGUUUCUUGGAACAUGGAAAGCCUCAUGCCUCUAUGAGCGUGAACUAGAUAAGUAGCAUUCACAAUUAAAGUUUUCUUCUUUUCAUAACCAGGAUUCUGGCAAUUAUGCUACUGAAAUAAGUAUUACUGAGAUGAUAUUCCUGUUUCCACCACUGUUUCCUUGUUUGUCAAAUGAGAAGAUAGAGAAUAGGCUGUGAUGAAACUCCUGCCCACAUAUUUUGGAUGGUUGCGUGUGCGCGUGCCAUGUUCACGGAGUAUUAGUCCAUUGGAUGUACAAGAAUCACUGUAUACAUUCACCACUUGACAGUGAGGUAUUUCCAGUUUGGGCUAAUCGUGGACAAAACUCCUAUGAAAAUUCAAAUAGAUAUUUUUGUGUGGAUAUGAAUUUUCAUUUUUCUUCAAUAUACACUAUAAAAAGUUAAAGAAACCAAACUCAAAAGGCUACAUAUGAUUGAAUUUAAAUGACAAUUUAGAAAAGGAGAACUAGCAAAAGAAAACAAAUCAGUGGUUGCUGGGUCAUGGAAAGUAGCCAUUGCCUAGAAAGAUGCACCAAGGAAGUAUUUUGGGGUGAUGAAACUGUUACCUACCUUUGGAGUGUGGUGGUGGCUAAACAACACUAUGAAUUUGUUAAAACUCAUACAACUGAAAACCAAACAAAAUUGUAAUGUAUGUAAAUGUAAAAUUAACAAAUAAAAACUUUGGUAAAGGCACAGCACUAAGAAAUGGUAGAGCUAGGAAGAAAACUCAGGAAGAUCUUCUCCAUGUUCAUUCCUUUGCAAAUAUAGUCCUGUCAGAUUUUUAGUGUCUUACCAAGAAUUAUUGUUAAGUGAGAUAUCUUAGAAGCUUCCUUUGAGUAUAUGACAGUGUAUGAAAGAAAAAUAUUUUGCCUUAUAUAUUAUCAGAUAGACCAUGUCUCAAUAAAAACACUGUAUCUCUAUGUCCAUUGUAUAAACCCAACUAAAAGGGCAUCUGGAUUGCAACUUCUUUUCAACAGGAAAUUGAAUGAAUUAGUGUUUUGAAUUUUUAAGAUUGUUUUUAGAAUCAGAACUUUCUUACCAUUUAAAAAUAUUAAUAAAAUCUAUUCCAGUUUUCCUAUCUGUUUUUCAAAUUGGAAUCUCUUUAACAUAGCAAUUAUGGCUCUAAUUCUACAGCGUUUUUCUCUCUACGACUACAGGUUGAUAUAUGCUCCAUAUCUUUUUCUAGUCAAUUAAUCAAUAAGCAUGUAUACACAGUAAAGCAACAGUGAUGGGAAGUCCUGGUAACACUGAAAAAGUUAAUGGUCCUUUUCACCAAAGGCUGGUUCAUCAGGAAAUUAUUCCUCCCAUAAUUGAUAACUAUUAUUAUAAUUCCUUUGAGAUUUACUUAAAUUAACAGGUUGAAAUUUCCCGAUUAUGUUGAACAGCAAUUUAGAAACCUAAAUGAUAAAAGAAAAACAUGAGAUAGGACUGUAGCAAUGUUUUGUAUCAUAAAUUGUUUAGCAAAUGAACAUGCAGAUUAUUCCAGGCUCACAUUGCUUACUUGGAUAUUUAAAACCACUUAAAAAUUCAGUACCUACAAAUUAUCUAUAAAUACAUUAAACUCUCCAAGAACCUGCAAUAUUAAUUGUUGUCUGGGGAUUUCAUUGGGCAAACAAAUUAUUCAGACAGAAUAAUGUGUGUUCUCAUUUGCUGUAUUUCCCCAGGAGGUAAAACAAUAAAUUCCAAACCUUAAAGUCACUACAUUUAUUUAUCUUCUGGACUAAGAACUUUGUUGUUUUUUUAAAAUCUUGUUCCACAGCAAACCUAAAUGAACUCUGUAAAAAUGAAGUGCUUUGAAAUGUGUUGUUUGAAACAAGAGAAAAUUCCUUUCUAACUAGAAUUUGAAUACUUUGGUACAAAGGGUCUAUUUCUCAGUGAUUUAUGUUUAGAUGCUAGAAUAUUUGAGCAUCAACAUAAUAGAAAAAAAAUGCUGUCACCUUUUGAAAAUCUGCUUUGGAAAUAUCAUGGGUUUGAAAUCUCAUUUGUCCAUCUUUCCUAGAGAGACUGGUUGAACAUACACUAUAUAUAGGUCACUUUCAAGCAAGGCAAGCUUCAGUGGAUCAAGAUGGGAUGUAAGAUAUCAAGAGACAGAGCUUCUGCUAGUUGUCUCCACAUCUCUGGACCUCAGGUUGUUAAUGUCCAAUCCAACACCAGAUCCCACUUUCAUAACACUGGUCCAGCAAUUUUCCCAUAGCACCUUGCUGUCACAAAUUUCAUUCCAACAAAUGGAAGCCUCCAUUAGAAUUUACUAACUACUGCAUUUGCCAAUGGACUUAAAUAUCCAAGCAAGCCUUGCUAGGCUGGACCAGACUAAAGGGCCAUUAUUGCAAUGAGUAAGGGACUGAUGAUUAGAAAGAAAUGACUCCAAACAAAUAUGGAGAAAGGCACCAACAUACUGUUUAACAAUUUAGAUACAAUUGAAUAGAUAAUGUGAAACAGG